rnacentral:lncRNA from 1 species
UAUGCUGCUUGAUCAAGGUAGAUUUGCACAACAACAGACAGGAUAUCCAGUGCAGGUGUUUGAGCAGGUGAAUCAGAUUCCUAUAAGGGCGUGGAAAUCAUUGCCUAACAGAGGGGAAGUUAGUGAAAACUUGACUCUCAUAUUGACUCCCCAGAUGGACACACAGGUGAUUGAGGUUAUGGUCUCAUUACAACGAGGUAUUGUGUCUAUCUCCCCUGGGGAUCGACCAGAUCAGGUGUUGACUUGGGCGAGAGGGUCUGUUUGUGUUUCCACAGGACCAGAUGGAACCUCUUUGGGUGCCAGAGAGAUUGGUGAGACGCUGCAAGAAUGAGGCUCCUGAUCCAGUUGCCCCUGUGGAUGUGGUGGAUGAUCCCACAAGCACAAAGGAUGGAGCCGAGAUGAGAGAUCCUUUCGGUAUUCCAGAAGCCGAUACCAGCUCGAC